UACAGAGGUCUCAAGCGUUGUUCGGAUUCAUUGGGCGUAAAGGGUGCGUAGGCGGCGCGGUAAGUCGGGUGUGAAAUCUCGGGGCUUAACUCCGAAACUGCAUUCGAUACUGCCGUGCUUGAGGACUGGGAGAGGAGACUGGAAAUUUACGGUGUAGCGGUGAAAUGCGUAGAUAUCGUAAGGAAGACCAGUGGCGAAGGCGGGUCUCUGGACAGUUCCUGACGCUGAGGCACGAAGGUCAGGGGGAGCAAACGGG
rnacentral:rRNA from 1 species